rnacentral:tRNA from 1 species
ACUUAGGUGGCUGAAAUGAAAGCAAUGGUCUCUUAAACCAAUUUAUAGUAAUCGUAUACUCCUAAGAA